UGGGGAAUUUUGGACAAUGGGGGAAACCCUGAUCCAGCCAUCCCGCGUGUGCGAUGAAGGCCUUCGGGUUGUAAAGCACUUUUGGCAGGAAAGAAACGUCGCGGGUUAAUACCCCGCGAAACUGACGGUACCUGCAGAAUAAGCACCGGCUAACUACGUGCCAGCAGCCGCGGUAAUACGUAGGGUGCAAGCGUUAAUCGGAAUUACUGGGCGUAAAGCGUGCGCAGGCGGUUCGGAAAGAAAGAUGUGAAAUCCCAGAGCUUAACUUUGGAACUGCAUUUUUAACUACCGGGCUAGAGUGUGUCAGAGGGAGGUGGAAUUCCGCGUGUAGCAGUGAAAUGCGUAGAUAUGCGGAGGAACACCGAUGGCGAAGGCAGCCUCCUGGGAUAACACUGACGCUCAUGCACGAAAGCGUGGGGAGCAAACAGGAUUAGAUACCCUGGUAGUCCACGCCCUAAACGAUGUCAACUAGCUGUUGGGGGCCUUCGGGCCUUGGUAGCGCAGCUAACGCGUGAAGUUGACCGCCUGGGGAGUACGGUCGCAAGAUUAAAACUCAAAUGAAUUGACGGGGGUCAU
rnacentral:rRNA from 1 species